ACUCCUACGGGAGGCAGCAGUGGGGAAUAUUGCACAAUGGGCGCAAGCCUGAUGCAGCCAUGCCGCGUGUGUGAAGAAGGCCUUCGGGUUGUAAAGCACUUUCAGUCGUGAGGAAGGUAGUGUAGUUAAUAGCUGCAUUAUUUGUACGUUAGCGACAGAAGAAGCACCGGCUAACUCCGUGCCAGCAGCCGCGGUAAUACGGAGGGUGCGAGCGUUAAUCGGAAUUACUGGGCGUAAAGCGCAUGCAGGUGGUUUGUUAAGUCAGAUGUGAAAGCCCGGGGCUCAACCUCGGAAUAGCAUUUGAAACUGGCAGACUAGAGUACUGUAGAGGGGGUUAGAAUUUCAGGUGUAGCGGUGAAAUGCGUAGAGAUCUGAAGGAUACCGGUGGCGAAGGCGGCCCCUGGACAGAUACUGACACUCAGAUGCGAAAGCGUGGGAGCAAAC
rnacentral:rRNA from 1 species